AACACAUUACCAACGCCUUUUGAGUAUUCCUCCCAGUGCAGGGUGCCGGGAACCCAGACGGAACAACUCAGCCUCUUUCCUCAGGGAAAAUGAGGUCAGCUUAUGCUGCCCAGGCUGGACUCAAACUCCUGGGCUCAACGAUCGUCUUGCCUCAGCUUCCCAAGUAGCUAGGACUACAGAAGGAGGUCUGCUUAGACCCUGAAAAAAAAAGGGGGGGACUCAUAUCCUAAAACCAGCCUAUCUUUGCCUUGCCAUGAACUGACUGAUCUGGCCACAGGAGGCCUGAAGUCUGACUACCCCUCUAUAGAAACACAGAGAUAUUCUCUCUUUGGUAUUACCUCAACCAAGACUUGGAAAUUACAGCAUGGGUUUGAGUGCCUUCUUCCACUCCUCCUCCACUGUGCUGAAGAGAUAUUGAGUUCUUCCAGAUUUUUGCUUAGCUGGGUGGUUUCCAAACUCAAUGGACUCUCUAGACAGGGUCUUGCUCUGUUGACCAGGCUGGAGUGCAGUGGCAUGAUCUUGGCACCUCUGCCUCCUUGGCUCAAAGGAUCCUCCUACCUCAGCCUCCCAAAGUGCUAGGAUUACAGGGGUAAGCCACUGCGCCUGGCCUUAAUGUUUAUUCUAAUUUUUUAAAAAGUGUAUGGGACUAAAAAAUAAAAUGACUAUUGUACAGUUUGGUGCCAAUGCUUCGAUUCAUGCUUAAUAAAGCACCAGAAGUUUUACCCACCAUUGCUUUGGCACCAUCAAUGCAAAUAUCAAUAUGAUGAAAAAGGUAAAUAUAUUUUAAUAUUAUUAUGAAAAUAGUUCUGACCUGACAGAUCCCCUGAAAGGGUCUUAGGGAUUCCCGGGAACCCAUGGAGCACAUUUGAAGAGCUGCUGCCUUAUGGAUUCCUCCUGGCUCUUACUGCUUCUAGCACUUACAUUAUGGCACUCACCAUAAAGGAUUGUCAUCCUCUUUUCCAUGUCUUCUCUAUCACACUAGGAGCCCUUUGAAGAUAAGUGCUAUAUCUUAUUUGUUCCUGUCUCCCCAGGACCUAGCAUAGAACCUGGGACGUGCUAAGUGAAUAAUAUUGGAUGAAUUGAAAUCUUACAGAUUUUCCCUUGACUUCCCAUUUGGUGGUGGGAAAACUGGGCUGAGAGCCAGGUCGCUGACAACAUCUCUUCUCCCGAACUUUCCUCCUCACUAUCAAUUCAUGCCUAGCCCCAUGCUUAUUUAUUAUUAUUAUUAAGUACACAGGAAAUACUUAGUAAAUACUUAUUAAAUACAGGGUAUUCCCUAAAAUGUUUGUUUCGUCUUGACCAUAAUUAUUCUCAUUUCUUCCCUAAGGGAUAUUUGUGUGUAUAUAUGUGUGUGUGUGUCUGUGUGUUCAUAUGUGGUGGGGGAAUAACUUAACAAGGGCAAGCUCUCUAAACUGUGGAAGACAAAAGAAAUCUUUCAAAAUUUGGGUCUUGGCUCACAAACAGUCUUCCCACGGUCUGCUAGAGAUCUCUCUGGGAAUUUGCUGGCCACCUCACAAUAUUCAUCUACUCCAUUUGGCCAGAGACUUGUCAGUGGGGCGGGGAAUUAUUGUUUUUAGAGUAGUGAAUGAAAGAUAUUCCACUUUGGCAAACAAUUGCAGGUCCUAAAAUAUUUGCAUUUUAUUGAUUGAUUGAGACAGGGUCUCUCUGUGUCACCUCGGCUGAAGUGCAGUGGCACAAUCACAGCUCACUGCAGCCUUGACCUGCUGGGCUUAAGCGAUCUUCCCACCUCAGCCACCAGAGUAGCUGUGACUACAGGUGCCUGCCAUCAUGCCUGGUUAAUUAAAAUUUUUGUUUUUCGUAGAGACAAGGUUUCACUAUGUUGCCCAGGCUGGUCUCGAACUCCUGGGCUCAAGAGAUCCCCCGGCCUCAGCCUCCCAAAGAACUAGGAUUACAAGCGUGAGCCACUGCACCCAGCCUUGCAUUUUAUUUUUGUACAUAGGCCCAGUAAUUGCCCAAUAGAUCCAUGAUAAGUUAGAGAUAAAAUGAUGCUACAGUAUUUAACAAAAGGAGCUUGGAAAGAAUCUUCAUUAAUUAGAACUUCAGUAUUUCUUUUCAAGCACACAGAAUUUUCUUCAUUGGUGGUUUUAAAGGUCAGAAUCUGGGCAUUCAUAUUCUAAAAUGGUGAGUAACUUUAAAAAAUAAGUGAUUUAAUCAAUUUGGUGAUUUUUUUCCCCCUUAUUGAAAACGACUUUUCAACUGGCUGAUUUUUCCCUUGUUUUUAAAUUAGAGCCUAGCACAGUGGCUCACACCUGAAAUCCCAGCACUUUAGGAGGCCAAGAUCAGAGGAUGGCUUAAGCCCAGGAGGUUGAGGUUGCAGUGAGCCAAGAUCGUGCCACUGCACUCCAGCCUGGGCAGUAGAAUGAGACCUUUUCUCAACAAGCAAACAAAUAAACAAGCAAAACCCAAAAACCACGACACCAAAAAAGAAUUAACUUACAAUCCAGCAAUACCACAUCUGGGUAUAUAUCCAAAGAAAUUGAAAUUGGAAUGUUGAAGAGAUAAUCUGCACUCCCAUGUUCAUUUCAGCAUUAUUCACAAUAGCCAAAAUAAGGAAGUAACCUAAGUGUGUAUUAGUGGAUAAACACAUGCACACACACACACAGGAAUAUUAUACAGCCUUUAAAAAGAAAGAUCUUCUGUCAUUCAUAACAACAUGGAUGGAGAAUAUUAUGCUACGUGAAAUCAGCCAGGCACAAAAAGAAAAACACUGUGUGAUCUCACUUAUAAGUGGAAUUUGAUUUUGGCCAGCCAUAGUGGCUCAUACCUGUAAUGCCAGCACUUUGGGAGGCUGAAGUCAGAGGAUCUCUUGAGCCCAGGAGUUUGAGACCACCCUGGGCAAUAUGACAGAACCCUGUCUGUACAAAAAAUACAAGAAUUAUCAGGGGUAGUGGAAUGCACCCGUAGUCCCAGCUAUGCGGGAGGCUGAGGUGGUAGGAUUGCUUCAACGCAGGAGGUCAAGGCUGCAGUGAGCCGUGACUGUGCCACUGCACCCCAGCCUGGGCAACAGAGCAAGACCCUGUCACUGGGGGAGGGGGGAAGUAGCUUUUUCACUGACUUUUAAUUAUUUAUUUAUUUAUUUUGAGCUGGAGUCUCACUGUGUUGCCCAGGCUGGAGUGCAGUGGUGUGAUCUCGGCUCACUGCAACCCCGCCUCCCAGGUUCAAGUGAUGCUCCUGCCUCAGCCUCCCAAGUAGAGUAGCUGGGACUACAGGCGCCUGCCACCAUGCCCAGCUAAUUUUUGUAUUUUUAGUAGAGAUGGAGUUUCACUAUGUUGGCCGGUCUGGUCUCGAACUCCUGACAUCAAGUGAUCCAUCCACCUGCCUCAGCCUCCAGAAGUGCUGAGAUUACAAGCGUGAGCCACCACACCCAGCCUAAUUAUUUAUUUAUUUUUAUUAUUAUUAUUAUUAUUGAGAGGGAGUCUCGCCCUGUCACCCAGGCUGGAGUACAGUGGUGCAAUCUCGGCUCACUGUAACCUUUGCCUCCCAGGUUCAAGCGAUUCUCCUGCCUCAGCCUCCCAAGUAGCUGAGAUUACAGGCGUCUGCCACCACACCUGGCUAAAUUUUGUAUUUUAGUAGAGAUGGGGUUUCACCAUGUUGGCCAGGCUGGUCUCGAACUUCUGAGCUCAAGUGAUCCACCCACCUUGGCCUCCCAGAUUGCUGAGAUUACAGGCAUGAGCCACCGCACCUGGUCUUAUUUUUAUUUUUAAUUUUAUUUCUUUUUGAGACAGAGUUUUGCUCUUGUUGCCCAGGCUGGAGUGCAGUGGUGCGAUCUUGGCUCACUGCAACCUCCUCCUUACAGGUUCAAGCGAUUCUCCUCCCUCGGCCUCCCAAGUAGCUGGGAUUACAGGUGCCCACCACCACGCCUGGCUAAUUUUUGUAUUUUAGUAGAGACGGGGUUUCACCAUGUUGACCAGGCUGGUCUCGAGCUCCUGACCUCAAGUGAUCCACCCGGCUCAGCCUCCCAAAAUGCUGGGAUUACAGGCAUGAGCCACCACGCCUGGCCUUAUUUUUAUUAAGAUUAUUUUUUUAGACAGGGUCUCAUUCUGUCCCCCAGACUCUGUUUCAUAUAAACAGAGAGGGCUAGGGGGUGGUAAAAGAGAAGAUGUUGAUCAAAGGGUGCAAAAUCUCAGUAAGACUGUAGGAACAGGUUUUAGUCAGCUAUUGCACUGCAUGGUGACCACAGUUAAUAAAAAUGUAUAUUUCAAAAUCGCUAAAAGAAUAAAUUUUUCACAUUCUUGCCACAAAAAAUGAUUAGUUGGUGAGGUGAUGGAUAUGUUAAUUAACUUGAUUGACCCUUUGUGCAAUGUAUACAUAGACCAAAACAUCAUAUUGUAGCCCAUAAAUAUAUACAAUUAUUGUGAAUGAAAAAUAAUUAAUUAAAAAAAUUUAAGGCCAGGCGUGGUGGCUCACGCCUGUAAUCCAGCACUUUGGAAGGCUGAGGCGGGCGGAUCACCUGAGGUUGGGAGUUCGAGACCAGCCUGACCAACAUGGAGAAGCCACAUCUCUAGUAAAAAUACAAAAUUAGCAGGGCAUGGUGGCGCAUGCCUGUAAUCCCAGCUACUUGGGAGGCUGAGGCGGGAGAAUCGCUUGAACCUGGGAGGCGGAGGUUGCGGUGAGCUGAGAUCAUGCCAUUGCACUCCAGCCUGGGCAACAAGAGCAAAACUCUGUCUCAAAAAAUAAACAAAUAAACAAACAAAUAAAUUUAAAGGUGGAAUCUGAGGCACAGAAAGGUUAAGCAACUUGCCCAUGGUCAACAGCUAGUACGUGGCAUAGCCAGAAUAUGGAUAUAGUCAAGCUGAUUCCAAAGAAUGUGCUCUUAACUAGUACACAACAGUAUAUUGCCUCCCAAUGGUAUAUAUCCAAUAUAGGUUCUUCCACAAAGAAAAAAUUUUGAGCUCAUAAACAUUUUGAGGUUUAAAAAUCAACAACUGAAC
rnacentral:lncRNA from 10 species